rnacentral:lncRNA from 10 species
GAGUGUUCCGGAGAGCACGUGUUAGGGAAGGAGGAGGCUGCGGGCUAACCUGCCGGGAGGGAGGGUAAGUGUGUGUCCCAGAGGAGGCGAGGAGGAAGAGGGGCUCUUGUGUUCUUUCGCUCGGAUUCCCCUGGGGCAGCCCUAAUUAUUUGGCGGAUCCUUAGGGGUUUCUUGUUGCUUCUCAUCCUUCAUCCGCAGUUGUAUUUAUGGUGAAGUUGGUAAAAUCAGUUAAGGGGCAAGACAUAUACAGCCUUUUAUUGGAAAAGUAAGGAAAUUAUGUAAGGGCCUUUCCAGAAGGAGAUAGUAGGAUCCUGGAGUUGGCUUUGCAGCAACUUCUAUUACCUCGGUCUCCCCAGUUUCCUCACCACCAUCACAUGCCCAAAGACAAAAUGUGGAAAUUUCCACUAAUUUCCUGAUAUAAAUGAUUCGUGAUUUUUUAUUACUUUUAAAUGAAAGAUGAUAAACCUGUUCUACAAAGGAGUUCAAUUUAUGAUCAGUGGAAUCAGAACGGAAAAUUAUUAUUUUUUUUUUUUUUUUCCCCGAGACGGAGUUUCGCUCUUGUUGCCCAGGCUGGAGUGCAAUGGCGCGGUCUCGGCUCACCUCAACCUCCGCCUCCCGGGUUCAAGCGAUUUUCCUGUCUCAGUCUAUGGAGUAGCUGGGAUUACAGGCAUGUGUCACCACGUCCGGCUAAUUUUGUAUUUCUUUUUUAGUAGAGAUGUGGUUUCACCAUGUUGGCCAGGCUGGUCUCGAACUCCUGACCUCAGGUGAUCCACCCGCCUCGGCCUCCCAAAGUGCUGGGAUUACAGGCCUGAGCCACCACGCCUGGCCGAGAUAGGAUCUUUUAUACCGAGUUUCUACUAUAAGACACUUUCAGAGUUUUGGCCACGGCGCACAGUGGCUCACGCCUGUAAUCCCAGCACUUUGGAAGGCCGAGGAUGUCGGAUCACCUGAGGUUGGGAGUUCGAGACCAGCCUAGCCAACUUGGUGAAACCCCAUCUCUACUAAAAAUGCAAAAAUUAGCCAGGCAUGGCUGUGCGCGCCUGUAAACCCCACUACUCAGGAAGCUGAGGCAGAAGACUUGCUUGAACCUGGCAAGUUGCAGUGAGCUGAGAUCAUGCCACUGCACUCCAGCCCGGGCAACAGAACGAGACUCCAUCUCAAAAAAAAAUUUUUUUUAAUCAAAUAAGUCUGUUUUUUUUUCCCUAAGGAACCAAUUCAUGACUUUCUUCUCAAAGGUUUCUAUGACCUCCUUUAAAAAAUAAAGUACCUCUUCGAAGGCAAAAACUGAGAACAUGACAUUCCUUCUACAGAGGUGGUCUGUUAAUGAAUUACACACACACACACACAGUUUUGCUUAGGAAGUUCUUCUGAGCAAAAUUUAUGAAAAAAUACUUACAAAUCAGGACAGACCUGGUACCCUCAAGGCAGAUAAUGGAACACUUUUGUAGGUUACCAGCUCAACCAUUGGCCCAGAUUAGUUUAGACUAAAAAGUGAUUUCAAGGUCACUAUUAGAUGUCCCUGGGAGCCCUGAGGAAGGAAGGUAGACCAGUAGACACUGCUAGAUUUCAAGCCAAACAGAUCUAAAAAAAAUUUUUUUUUUUUGAGACGGAGUCUUUGCUCUGUCGCCCAGGCUGGAGUGCAAUGGCACGAUCUUGGCUCACUGCCACCUCCGC